GUCGAGCGGACCGUAAGCGUUUUAUUACAUUUACGGUCAGCGGCGGACGGGUGAGUAACGCGUGAGUAACCUGCCUUAAAGUUUGGGAUAGCCUUGAGAAAUCAAGGGUAAUACCCGAAUAAUGCCAAUAGUUGAAAGACUUAUUGGUUAAAGAUGGCCUCUGCUUGCAAGCUAUCGCUUUAUGAGGGGCUCGCGUCCCAUUAGCUAGUUUGUGAGGUAAAGGCUCACAAAGGCUAUGAUGGGUAGCCGGCUUGAGAGGGUGACCGGCCACGCUGGGACUGAGAACGGCCCAGGCUCCUACGGGAGGCAGCAGGCUAGAAAUUUGACCAAUGGACGCAAGUCUGAGCCAGCGACACCACUUGGGGGAUUUGAAGGCUUUCGGGUCGUAAACCCCUGUCAAAAAGGAAGAUGGUCUGGAAGUUCAAUAAACUUACAGAUUGACAGUACUUUUAAUAGGAAGCCACGGCUAAUUCCGUGCCAGCAGCCGCGGUAAAACGGAAGUGGCAAGCGUUGUCCCGAAAUCACUGGGCGUAAAGCGGGCGUAGGCGGGUAAAUAAGUUGGAUGUGAAAACCAGCUGCUCAACGGCUGGCCUGCAUCCAAAACUGUGUACCUUGAGUCUGACAGA
rnacentral:rRNA from 1 species